AGGAUGAACGCUGGCGGCGUGCCUAAUACAUGCAAGUCGAACGAGAUCUUCGGAUCUAGUGGCGAACGGGUGAGUAACACGUUGGUACCUACCCCGAAGUGGGGAAUAACUGCCCGAAAGGGUGGCUAAUACCGCAUAAUACCGCAAGGUUAAAGCAGUAAUGCGCUUCGGGAGGGGCCUGCGUCCAAUUAGCUAGUUGGUAGGGUAAUGGCCUACCAAGGCGACGAUUGGUAGCUGGAUCGAGAGGUUGACCAGCCACACGUGGACUGAGAUACGGCCACGACUCCUACGGGAGGCAGCAGUAAGGAAUCUUCCACAAUGGACGAAAGUCUGAUGGAGCAACGCCGCGUGCAGGAUGACGGUCUUCGGAUUGUAAACUGCUUUUAUAUGGGAAGAUUAUGACGGUACCAUAUGAAUAAGGACCGGCUAACUACGCGCCAGCAGCCGC
rnacentral:rRNA from 1 species